CCUACGGGAGGCAGCAGUGGGGAAUAUUGGGCAAUGGGCGCAAGCCUGACCCAGCAACGCCGCGUGAAGGAAGAAGGCUUUCGGGUUGUAAACUUCUUUUGACAGGGAAGAGUAGAAGACGGUACCUGUCGAAUAAGCCACGGCUAACUACGUGCAAGCAGCCGCGGUAAUACGUAGGUGGCAAGCGGUGUCCGGAUUUACUGGGUGUAAAGGGCGUGUAGCCGGGUUGACAAGUCAGAUGUGAAAUCCUGCGGCUUAACCGCAGAACUGCAUUUGAAACUGUUGAUCUUGAGUACUGGAGAGGCAGACGGAAUUCCUAGUGUAGCGGUGAAAUGCGUAGAUAUUAGGAGGAACACCAGUGGCGAAGGCAGUCUGCUGAACAGCAACUGACGGUGAGGCGCGAAAGCGUGGGGAGCAAACAGGAUUAGAUACCCGAGUAGUC
rnacentral:rRNA from 1 species